GAUGAACGCUGGCGGCGUGCCUAAUACAUGCAAGUCGAGCGAACAGAUAAGGAGCUUGCUCCUUUGACGUUAGCGGCGGACGGGUGAGUAACACGUGGGUAACCUACCUAUAAGACUGGGAUAACUUCGGGAAACCGGAGCUAAUACCGGAUAACAUUUGGAACCGCAUGGUUCUAAAGUGAAAGAUGGUUUUGCUAUCACUUAUAGAUGGACCCGCGCCGUAUUAGCUAGUUGGUAAGGUAACGGCUUACCAAGGCAACGAUACGUAGCCGACCUGAGAGGGUGAUCGGCCACACUGGAACUGAGACACGGUCCAGACUCCUACGGGAGGCAGCAGUAGGGAAUCUUCCGCAAUGGGCGAAAGCCUGACGGAGCAACGCCGCGUGAGUGAUGAAGGGUUUCGGCUCGUAAAACUCUGUUAUUAGGGAAGAACAAAUGUGUAAGUAACUGUGCACGUCUUGACGGUACAUAAUCAGAAAGCCACGGCUAACUACGUG
rnacentral:rRNA from 1 species